rnacentral:rRNA from 1 species
UACAGAGGUCUCAAGCGUUGUUCGGAUUCAUUGGGCGUAAAGGGUGCGUAGGUGGCAUGGUAAGUCGGAUGUGAAAUCCCGGGGCUCAACCCCGGAACUGCAUUCGAUACUGCUGAGCUAGAGUACUGGAGAGGAGAUUGGAAUUUACGGUGCAGCAGUGAAAUGCGUAGAUAUCGUAAGGAAGACCAGUGGCGAAGGCGGAUCUCUGGACAGUUACCGACACUGAGGCACGAAGGCCAGGGGAGCAAACGGG